CCUACGGGUGGCAGCAGUGAGGAAUAUUGGUUAAUGGACGCAAGUCUGAACCAGCCAUGCCGCGUGCAGGAAGACGGCUCUAUGAGUUGUAAACUGCUUUUGUACGAGAGUAAACGCACAUACGUGUAGCGGUCUGCAAGUAUCGUAUGAAUAAGGAUCGGCUAACUCCGUGCCAGCAGCCGCGGUAAUACGGAGGAUUCAAGCGUUAUCCGGAUUUAUUGGGUUUAAAGGGUGCGUAGGCGGUCGGAUAAGUUAGAGGUGAAAUCCCGAGGCUCAACUUCGGACUUGCAGCUGAUACUGGCCGGCUAGAGAGUAGUUGCGGUAGGCGGAAUGUAUGGUGUAGCGGUGAAAUGCUUAGAGAUCAUACAGAACACCGAUUGCGAAGGCAGCUUACCAAGCUACUUCUGACGUUGAGGCACGAAAGCGUGGGGAGCAAACAGGAUUAGAUACCCGUGUAGUC
rnacentral:rRNA from 1 species